rnacentral:rRNA from 1 species
UAGGGAAUCUUCCACAAUGGGCGAAAGCCUGAUGGAGCGACGCCGCGUGAGUGAAGAAGGUCUUCGGAUCGUAAAACUCUGUUGUUAGAGAAGAACAUGCGAGAGAGUAACUGUUCUUGUAUUGACGGUAACUACCCAGAAAGGGACGGCUAACUACGUGCCAA